UACGAAGGUUGCAAGCGUUACUCGGAAUUACUAGGCGUAAAGGGGCAGGUAGGUGGUUUGGUAAGUCUAUUGUGAAAGCUCCCGGCUUAACUGGGAGAGGCCAAUGGAUACUGCCAAGCUUGAGUAUAGGAGAGGUUACUGGAAUUCCCGGUGUAGCGGUGAAAUGCGCAGAUAUCGGGAGGAACACCAAUGGCGAAAGCAGGUAACUGGACUAUUACUGACACUCAACUGCGAAAGCUAGGGGAGCAAACAGG
rnacentral:rRNA from 1 species